GGGGAAUAUUGCACAAUGGGCGAAAGCCUGAUGCAGCGACGCCGCGUGAGGGAUGACGGCCUUCGGGUUGUAAACCUCUUUCAGCAGGGAAGAAGCGAAAGUGACGGUACCUGCAGAAGAAGCGCCGGCUAACUACGUGCCAGCAGCCGCGGUAAUACGUAGGGCGCAAGCGUUGUCCGGAAUUAUUGGGCGUAAAGAGCUCGUAGGCGGUUAGUCGCGUCUGCUGUGAAAACUCGAGGCUCAACCUCGGGCUUGCAGUGGGUACGGGCUGACUAGAGUGCGGUAGGGGUGACUGGAAUUCCUGGUGUAGCGGUAAAAUCCGUAGAGAUCGAGAGGAAUACUCAUUGCGAAGGCGACCUGCUGGAACAUUACUGACGCUGAGGUGCGAAAGCGUGGGGAGCAAACA
rnacentral:rRNA from 1 species